rfam:Gallus gallus isolate RJF #256 breed Red Jungle fowl, inbred line TCD001 chromosome 1, whole genome shotgun sequence.
CCAAAGGCUCUUUUCAGAGCCACCCACACUUUCCAUGGAAGAGCU